GCCGGGUGUGGUGGCUCACACCUGUAAUCCCAGCACUUUGGGAGGCCGAGGCAGGCGGAUCACCUGAGGUCAGGAGUUUGAGACCAGCCUGGCCAACAUGGUGAAAUCCUGUCUCUA
rnacentral:sRNA from 1 species